rnacentral:rRNA from 1 species
GAGCGGCGGACGGGUGAGUAAUGCCUGGGAAUAUGCCUUAGUGUGGGGGAUAACUAUUGGAAACGAUAGCUAAUACCGCAUAACGUCUUCGGACCAAAGAGGGGGACCUUCGGGCCUCUCGCGCUAAGAUUAGCCCAGGUGGGAUUAGCUAGUUGGUGGGGUAAAGGCCCACCAAGGCAACGAUCCCUAGCUGGUCUGAGAGGAUGAUCAGCCACACUGGAACUGAGACACGGUCCAGACUCCUACGGGAGGCAGCAGUGGGGAAUAUUGCACAAUGGGGGAAACCCUGAUGCAGCCAUGCCGCGUGUAUGAAGAAGGCCUUCGGGUUGUAAAGUACUUUCAGUCGUGAGGAAGGGUGUGUAGUUAAUAGCUGCAUGCCUUGACGUUAGCGACAGAAGAAGCACCGGCUAACUCCGUGCCAGCAGCCGCGGUAAUACGGAGGGUGCGAGCGUUAAUCGGAAUUACUGGGCGUAAAGCGCAUGCAGGCGGUCUGUUAAGCAAGAUGUGAAAGCCCGGGGCUCAACCUCGGAACCGCAUUUUGAACUGGCAGACUAGAGUCUUGUAGAGGGGGGUAGAAUUUCAGGUGUAGCGGUGAAAUGCGUAGAGAUCUGAAGGAAUACCGGUGGCGAAGGCGGCCCCCUGGACAAAGACUGACGCUCAGAUGCGAAAGCGUGGGGAGCAAACAGGAUUAGAUACCCUGGUAGUCCACGCCGUAAACGAUGUCUACUUGAAGGUUGUGGCCUUGAGCCGUGGCUUUCGGAGCUAACGCGUUAAGUAGACCGCCUGGGGAGUACGGUCGCAAGAUUAAAACUCAAAUGAAUUGACGGGGG